GUGACUGUAGCUCAGCCGGAAGAGCGCCGCCUCGCCAUGGCGGAGGUCCCGGGUUCGAACCCCGGUAGUCACU
rnacentral:tRNA from 1 species